AUCCAGUUACAAGGAAGUGAAUCAGAAAGAUCUCGUGAUGAGCCCAUCCUUUACAUUUCAAUGAUGUGUACAUUGCAAUACGAAGAAAGACAAAAUUGAAGAAAUAUUUCAAUAUAAAACUGUGACUCUACGUUGUGGAACGAAAUAAUAAGUGUGGGAAAGAAGAAAUAGUCGCUUUGGUCAUAUUUGACGUCAAAUAUAUCUCGUUUGGGCAAAAAAUACAAGGAACUUGAUACUCUGUGCAGUCCGUACUUGUAUUUUGUUUGGUAUUUUAUUCAUAUGUCACGUUGUUUAUCUCUCACUCUGUGUUCUGUGUUUUGGUGAGGAAAAUGUAAAGCAGAUAGGAGAUAGUUUUCUUUAUUUUCAUUUCAAUUAGUAAUGAUGACGAUUUGGAUUUAACAGAUUGUCAAAAAUGACGAAGAAUUUAAAUAUAUGAUUAAA